AUUGAACGCUAGCGGCAUGCCUAACACAUGCAAGUCGAGCGGAGCGGCGGACGGGUGAGUAAUGCCUCGGAAUCUGCCUAGUAGUGGGGGAUAACGUCCGGAAACGGUCGCUAAUACCGCAUACUAUCAGAUGAGCCUAGGUCGGAUUAGCUAGUUGGUGGGGUAAAGGCCUACCAAGGCGACGAUCCGUAACUGGUCUGAGAGGAUGAUCAGUCACACUGGGACUGAGACACGGCCCAGACUCCUACGGUAGGCAGCAGUGGGGAAUAUUGGACAAUGGGCGAAACCCUGAUCCAGCCAUCCCGCGUGUGCGAUGAAGGCCUUCGGAUUGUAAAGCACUUUAAGCAGGGAGGCGUUACCAACAGAAUAAGCACCGGCUAACUUCGUGCCAGCAGCCGCGGUAAUUC
rnacentral:rRNA from 1 species